CUCUGUGACUCCUACGGGAGGCAGCAGUGGGGAAUAUUGCACAAUGGGCGCAAGCCUGAUGCAGCCAUGCCGCGUGUGUGAAGAAGGCCUUCGGGUUGUAAAGCACUUUCAGUAGGGAGGAAGGUAGUGUAGUUAACACCUGCAUUAUUUGACGUUACCUACAGAAGAAGCACCGGCUAACUCCGUGCCAGCAGCCGCGGUAAUACGGAGGGUGCGAGCGUUAAUCGGAAUUACUGGGCGUAAAGCGCAUGCAGGUGGUUUGUUAAGUCAGAUGUGAAAGCCCCGGGGCUCAACCUCGGAAUUGCAUUUGAAACUGGCAGACUAGAGUACUGUAGAGGGGGUAGAAUUUCAGGUGUAGCGGUGAAAUGCGUAGAGAUCUGAAGGAAUACCGGUGGCGAAGGCGGCCCCCUGGACAGAUACUGACACUCAGAUGCGAAAGCGUGGGGAGCAAACAGGAUUAGAUACCCUGGUAG
rnacentral:rRNA from 1 species